ensembl:lncRNA
GAGAAAGAGCGGAGGAGGGAGAGGAGGAACAGCAGCAGCAGCCGGGGAAAGGAAGGGAAAACAAUCAGUGCGUGCGUGCUCCGCGCCGGGCCCCCCAAAGGGCGGCCGCGCUCCCUUUGUUUCCCGCCGCCCCGGCCCCGGCUCCUACCUGUCCCCUCGCCCCCCGGACGCCCCUGGAUCUGGGCCCGGGUCCCUGGGACGCGGCGGUGACAGCGGCGACGGCACGACGGGCGCCGCGGCCGCUCGGGGAGGGCAGGGGGAGCAGGCGCUGCUCCGCCGCCGCGGCCGCUCCAGUCCGAGUUGCGGGCGGCGGGGCGGAGCGGACUGCGGUGCGGGGGCCGCGGGCGUGCCCGGAGGGCGCGGGCAGCGGCGGCAGGUGAGGCGGCGGCGGAGCCGGAGGAGAAGGCGGCUGCGGGAGGGCGCGACGCCCGCGGCAGCUGCUGCCCGUGUCCGAGCGCCCAGCCGCCCCCCAGCCGCAGCAACCGCAGCAACCGCAGCAACCGCAGCCGCCGCGCGGGGCCCGGGAGAAAGUUUAGCAAAGGCUCGGCGGAGGCGCGGGGAGCUCGGAGCCCGGCGACGCCGCACUGUCCCUGGGAGCCGCCGGCAGCCCAGCCUGGCCCUGCCUCUGCCUCCGCCUCCCUCCCUCCCCUCUCGGUCUCACGCGGCCCGCGCGCGCUCCCUCGCGCUCGCGCCCCGCCCCGCCCCCGCCCCGCCUUCGCCCCUAGCCACGCCUCUCCGGGGCUCGCUCUCCGUCCCGGACCCCCACCCCCCGGGAGCCGUCAGUUCGCGAGACGCCGCGGCGGGCACGCGCCGCCGCUCUGGGGCCUCCCCUCCCCCGCGGACCACCCCAUCUCCGCUGGGCCCGGGGAAACUGAAAGGGGAGAAGGACCACGGGGGAUACUACCUCGGCCGCCCGCCCCCCGAGGACCCCUGUCCUGCGCUCUGCUCCCGAUCUCGGGGAAGCACCGAGCGGGCCGGGUCCGGUUCGCGGGCCGGAGGGUUCCUGGAGCCGCCGCCGCCCGCUGGGAUCGGAAGCCGCACGUGAGCCUCCCCCUCCGUGCCAGCGCGCAGUGGUGCGGUCCGCUGCGUGCCGGGCAUAAGGCAAGCGAGGAGGGACGCACUUCCUCGAGCGCGCGCGAGCGCCGCAGCCGGAGUCCCGCGCCACGCGGGGCCACGAGCCCGCGGGGACAAGCGGGAAUGGGCCGGGCCGGGGCCGAAGGGCCGGGCCGGGCCGGGGAGCCGCUGGACGCGAGCCGGAGCUCCCCGGGUCCCGCGGCCACAUCAAGGUCAAAGGCUUUGACCCGGGGAGCGCGGGUCUGGAGUGUGGGAGCGGGGCGGGGCUGCCCCGACCGGGUCUUUCCUAACCGCUCUGCCUAGUGUGACGGGGGCAAGGGCUUACAGGGCGCUUCCAAGUUCUAGAAGCGAUUUCUUUGUUCUCCAUCGCCUUUGACCCUAAAGGCACCCGGUCGGCCCCAUUUUACAGAAGGGAAAAUAGAGGCAGAGCAGCCCGAGACUGUCCCGCCCCCCUCCCACGUUCGGGUCCCGCGUGACACGCUCUCAGGCGGUCCCUCGGCCUUGCGGGGCGCCCCUCGGAGCGCAGGGAAGGCCGCCGUCUCUGUUGGGCGCUUCCUGUAUACGUUCCGUUCCCUGCGCGUGAAAAGUGACCUAAAACUCCGCAGUGGACACAGACCUGGGGAUCGAGGGGCUCGCUCUCGGCCCGCCCCGGGGCCCACCGGAAGGGGGCGUCAGCGCCCCCGGGAGACGAGCGCCCUGGGGGGGGGGGGAGGGGGGAGGCCGGGAUCAGGCAGCAGGCCCGCCACCUGAGGCUCUCGUGACGUCAUUGCCCCAAGGAAACUGACUUAUUUUCUGCCACUGGAAGUCUCCGUCGGAUGCAAAUCAGGGGGGCGGUGCCACGGGGUCGGGCUGCGGACAGUGACCUCCCCCCCCCCCCCGCCCAGAUUUGCGGAUGGACGCUCAAGCGUAAAUCCCACACGCCAAAACGCAACCAGGCGCGGCUAAAAAAUAUACCGUAAAAAACAAAGCAAAAAGCUAAGGGGGUCACAACAAACCGUAGCUUUAAAUUUUACGGGCUUUUCAUUUAGCCUGAAAAAAUCCCUGCCGCAAAUCUCACUAAAGGCCCCAGGGCGAAGGUUCCACCGCAAGCGUCCCUGAAGCACGCGAGGAAAAGCGGACGCAAGACGGAGCGGCCGGUGCUGUGAGCCGCGGAUGAGCCGCUCCAACGGCCCAGGGAGCCUUUGCGAGUCUUCCGGUGUCCCGUGUCCUGGCUGGCCCUUUGUCCGCGCCAGUUUUCAUUCCGAUGUCUGACCCACGCAACGGCUUUGCACGAGAAUGGAUGCUGACAGACAAAAAGAGAAACUAAACUUUUUAAUAAAAAUUUCACAUCUUUCUGUGAAGUCACUUUUUAAAAAAAUAAACUGAGUCAGUUCCCCCUUGAUGCCACUUUUAUUCUUCCCUGGAAGGACAGCAUAAGGAAAGCAAAUUCUGUGAUAGUGCUUUUUUUGACUGACCCAAAUUUUAACCAAAUUAAAAUCUAGUAGGUUGGCCGAGUGAUGUGAAUAGACAUCUCUGAAAAGAAUUGGAAACUGUUGACCAUAAAUCCCUGAUUCGGAGGCGGGGUGGAGAAUGACACGAUAACUCUGAAGUCUUGUCUCGCUCCCAGAAAACGGGCAAAGAUCACCGAGCAGGAAUCACCGGAGUUGGAAGCACAGCAUGUACAAAGCACAUAUCAUGUAUAAUGUGCUAUUUGUGGCGAUGGGGACUGACCUAAUCUUUCCAGAUAGUAAUUCGGAAUGAUGCGAAGGAAACGAGUGAAAUGUCCUACCCUUUAACUCAGGGGUUUCAACCACAGGCAUCCCGAUGAGGAGAGCAGCACUUUUCUUGAACUGAAAUAUCGUUCAUGCCGUUAAUUGGAGAACAGUCAAACAAAAGGCGAUCGGUGAAUUCAGUGGAACCUUUCUUCUUCGCUCUAAGAAAAAAUUAAAUAUGAUUUUUUUUAAAAAAGAAAGAAAAGCAGAGGAAAAAAUUAGAUCAACGGAUAUAAAGUGAAGCCAACCAUAAAUAAAAUAUACAUGAUGACCCAACAGCAUCUGUGGGAAAACCAACAAUGAAGAGGCAGAAUGCUGCAAGAUUACAAUGGCCAUGUUGUUAUUGUCAUUUUAAGUCAUGUUCAAGUUUUUGCCCCCUCGUUUGGGGUUUUUUUUUUUGGCAUUUCCUUCUCCAGCUCAUUUAACAUGAGGAAACUGAGGCAAACAGGAUGAAGCGACUUUGGGUAACAUAAAAAAGAGUUGGUAUUUAAACUCAUGACUUUGGGGUUCAAAUCUGGUUCGUUUUCCUCUGGACCACAUCGCUGGCAUUUUUUUUAAAGCCUCUUCAUGGUAGAAACUAUUUGUGGCUCAUCUGAUAGCUGUUGUGAUAACAAAUGCAUCUUCCUUUAUACGACCAUAUUGUCAGUGCGAGGGGCAUCUGACCCUGAAGGAUGUGGCAGAAGGCAUCCUGGGCUGGGAACAGGAGAAACAGCAGUCACUGAAAACGGUACCAGGGAAACCAGGGAAACGGACAGAAGGAAACCACACAAAGCUGGAGGCAAAUGAUGCUGGGGCAUCAUGGUCAAGCUGGAGAUGUUUCUAAGAGGAAGAGGGAGGGUGAGCGUAGCCUGCCUGCGACAACUGUGCUGAUGGGGGCUGGAGACCACAGACUUGGGGAUUCUCAGAGCUUCGUGGCUAAUAUACGGGAUUAUUUACCCUCUAAGGGAAGAGGGAGGGGGAAAGUUGGAUCACAAGACUUUGCAAGGGUGAAUGUUGAAAUUAUUUAUUCAGG